rnacentral:rRNA from 1 species
GACGAACGCUGGCGGCGCGCUUAACACAUGCAAGUCGAGCGAGAACCAGUCCUUCGGGACUGGGGACAGCGGCGAACGGGUGAGUAACACGUGGGUAAUCUGCCCUCGGCACCGGAAUAGCCCGGGGAAACCCGGAUUAAUGCCGGAUGGCCUCUCUGCCCCUCGGGGCGGCGAGAAAAGGUAGCUUCGGCCUCCGGCCGAGGAUGAGCCCGCGGCCGAUUAGCUUGUUGGUGAGGUAACGGCUCACCAAGGCGACGAUCGGUAGCUGGUCUGAGAGGACGAUCAGCCACACUGGGACUGAGAAACGGCCCAGACUCCUACGGGGGGCAGCAGUGGGGAAUCUUGCGCAAUGGGCGAAAGCCUGACGCAGCGACGCCGCGUGCGGGAAGAAGGCCUUCGGGUUGUAAACCGCUUUCAGGAGGGACGAAGCCACUCGGGUUAAUAGCCCAGAGGGUGACGGUACCUCCAGAAGAAGCCCCGGCUAACUACGUGCCAGCAGCCGCCGUAACAC